rnacentral:lncRNA from 1 species
CAGUUCACAAACCACCAAAGCAUUCUCCUACUCCUAAACCACCAGUUCAUAAACCACCAAGAUAUCCUCCUAAACCAUCACCUUGUCCACCCCCAUCAUCAACACCAAAACCACCUCAUCAUCCCAAACCCCCAGCAGUACACCCACCACAUGUUCCAAAACCACAUCCACCUUAUGUUCCAAAACCACCAAUUGUUAAACCUCCAAUAGUACAUCCACCUUACGUACCAAAACCCCCAGUUGUGAAACCACCACCAUAUGUCCCUAAACCACCUGUUGUGAGACCACCCUAUGUUCCUAAACCACCAGUUGUACCUGUAACACCACCUUAUGUUCCUAAGCCACCAAUUGUUUUCCCACCACAUGUUCCUCUACCUCCAGUUGUACCAUCACCACCACCUUAUGUACCAACACCUCCAAUUGUGAAACCACCAAUUGUUUUUCCACCACAUGUUCCUCUACCUCCAGUUGUGCCUGUAACACCACCUUAUGUGCAACCACCACCUAUUGUAACUCCACCAACACCAACACCUCCAAUUGUGACACCACCAACACCACCUAGUGAAACACCUUGUCCUCCACCACCACUUGUACCUUAUCCACCACCACCAGCACAACAAACAUGUUCCAUUGAUGCUUUGAAGUUGGGUGCAUGUGUUGAUGUGCUUGGUGGACUCAUACAUAUUGGUAUAGGUGGAAGUG